rnacentral:misc_RNA from 1 species
UCCUAAAGUUGUAGGCUUCGGGCCUCGCUGCUUACCCAUGUCUUUUGAGUACCGUCUGUUUCCUCGGCGGGUCCUGCCCUGCCGAGUGGACAUCAUUAAAACCUCUUUGCAGUUGCAAUCAGCGUCAGAAAAACAAUUAAUAUUA